UGGUAGUNCACGCCGCAAACGAUGAGUGCUAGGUGUUAGGCCCUUUCCGGGGCUUAGUGCCGGAGCUAACGCAAUAAGCACUCCGCCUGGGGAGUACGACCGCAAGGUUGAAACUCAAAGGAAUUGACGGGGGCCCGCACAAGCGGUGGAGCAUGUGGUUUAAUUCGAAGCAACGCGAAGAACCUUACCAGGUCUUGACAUCCCGAUGCUAUUCUUAGAGAUAGGAAGUUACUUCGGUACAUCGGAGACAGGUGGUGCAUGGUUGUCGUCAGCUCGUGUCGUGAGAUGUUGGGUUAAGUCCCGUAACGAGCGCAACCCUUAUUGUUAGUUGCCAUCAUUAAGUUGGGCACUCUAGCGAGACUGCCGGUAAUAAACCGGAGGAAGGUGGGGAUGACGUCAAAUCAUCAUGCCCCUUAUGACCUGGGCUACACACGUGCUACAAUGGUCGGUACAACGAGUUGCGAGCCGGUGACGGCAAGCUAAUCUCUGAAAGCCGAUCUCAGUUCGGAUUGGAGGCUGCAACUCGCCUCCAUGAAGUCGGAAUCGCUAGUAAUCGCGGAUCAGCACGCCGCGGUGAAUACGUUCCCGGGCCUUGUACACACCGCCCGUCACACCACGAGAGUUUGUAACACCCGAAGUCGGUGAGGUANCCUUUUAGGGGCCA
rnacentral:rRNA from 1 species